ensembl:lncRNA
AUUACCGCAGUCAGUCCGUAACCUGGUCUGGGAACUUGGGGCUAGUCCACGCCAAUAGAGGAACAAUGCCUCCUCAGUUCAAGUCCAACAAAAGACCUGGCGAACUUGUUUGAAUUUCAGAGCACGUCCUUUCUUUCACAGAGAGGACUGCCCCCUCCCGAACACCCUUCAUGAAAAAAAAAGAAAGAAAGAAAAGGAAAGAAAGGGGGGGAAAACAUGCCGACCUUCUCUGCUCAACAGUGCACUUUUCUAUUUGGUGCUGCAGACAAAUAGGUUAUGGGAAACUUCUCAACCCCUCCUCUCUCUCUCUCCCCCCCUCUCACUGGCUCUCGCUUAUACGGUAGCUGUCGUUCUCGUGCGCUUGGACUGUGCUCUUGUGAGAAUCAGAGCCGCUGAGACACGCGUAAUGAACUGAGUAUUAGCGGCAAUUUUAAAUCGAAAGCGCUCUGUGCACGCCGGUUUCUUACCAACAGCAGGAGUUGCAUCUGGUCACGUCGACUUCGGCAUAAUAAUAAAAAAAAACAACAAAAAAAAAAACCUUUGCUCAAGGCUGAAGGAAAAUGUGACCAUCACUUACCCACUGGAAUUGAGCAGGAGGAAACUGGCAUCAAUUUUAUCAAAUGAUUAACCAACAUGAAUGAUGCUUCUGAGGAACUGCGUUGCUCUUUGAAGUGAGGAAGGAAGGUUGAGAGAGCUCUCUCUCCAGCACAUGCCUCCCUCAUUAGUGUCCAGCAGAUGAAGACGCAAGGUCACAAACCCAAUGAGCUGCCCAUUUCAUUCAGUUUUCCCGAAAUGGAAAGAUGACCACUGUGACCUAAUGUUGCAGUACGGUCUGACAGCACAUUGUACACAACAUAUAAAGUAGCUUGAAUAACCCUUGAACCUUGUGUGGAGUGCAUUAUUUUUUAUGAAAUUGCUAUAGUGUCCAACUUUUCAACAUGCUUGUAGAUUUUAUUCAUUCAAUAAAUUGUGAAUUUUCCUAAAAAGGGAACAGGUCUUGUGAUUUAUUUGCUGAACUGUGGGUGAUGAAAUAUUUAAUAUCCUGGGUAUUAAAAUGAUCAGUCUCGGAUCCAUUGAGAGGGUUGACAUGGUUGAAUCAGUACCACACUAAGGAACUGCUGCACAGGGAAUUAUUGCUUCUGUCUGAACAUGUCACCUCUACAAUAUUUCUAUGAUUAUAAUGUACAAUUAUCCUUUCUUUUCGUUUUCUCUGGCUUGUCAUUGUUGAAACAUUUCACACACACAAUAUGAAAGAACAAUAAAGUCUAGACUCAAUGUCAUUGCUUGGAUUUGAUUUAUACACUUAAGUAUUUCACAUGCAUAAUGCAAAGUAGCUCUCACACUUCACG